CUUUUCCGGAUCUCUCCCAGCUGCUUGAAUGUUGAUCUCUGGGUGACCUCUGACCUCGAUCAGCUGAUAAUCAGUCAUAUGACCGAGUGAAAAUGGCGGGGAACACCAACAACACAGCCGCGUUAGACAGCAGAACCAACACUCCUGGAGCCGUGCAGGAGAUGUUGUAUAAGGUGCUGGUGAUCGGGGAGUUCGGCGUGGGAAAGACAUCCAUAAUUAGAAGAUAUACAGAAGGUAAGAGGCACCUGUGCAUCUCUUUUUUUUCUUUAGUAUGAAUUAAUUGCUUUCAAAUGUGCUACAAAAUAUGUGUCUUUA